UAGGGAAUCUUCCACAAUGGACGCAAGUCUGAUGGAGCAACGCCGCGUGAGUGAAGAAGGUUUUCGGACCGUAAAGCUCUGUUGUUGGUGAAGAAGGAUAGAGGUAGUAACUGGCCUUUAUUUGACGGUAAUCAACCAGAAAGUCACGGCUAACUACGUGCCAGCAGCCGCGGUAAUACGUAGGUGGCAAGCGUUGUCCGGAUUUAUUGGGCGUAAAGCGAGCGCAGGCGGAAGAAUAAGUCUGAUGUGAAAGCCCUCGGCUUAACCGAGGAAUUGCAUCGGAAACUGUUUUCUUGAGUGCAGAAGAGGAGAGUAGAACUCCAUGUGUAGCGGUGGAAUGCGUAGAUAUAUGGAAGAAUACCAGUGGCGAAGGCGGCUCUCUGGUCUGCAACUGACGCUGAGGCUCGAAAAGCAUGGGUAGCGAACAGGAUUAGAUACCCUGGUAGUCCAUGCCGUAAACGAUGAGUGCUAAGUGUUGGGAGGCUUCCGCCUCUCAGUGCUGCAGCUAACGCAUUAAGCACUCCGCCUGGGGGAGUACGACCGCAAGGUUGAAAC
rnacentral:rRNA from 1 species